rnacentral:rRNA from 1 species
UACGAAGGGGGCUAGCGUUGCUCGGAAUCACUGGGCGUAAAGCGCACGUAGGCGGCUUUCUAAGUCUGGCGUGAAAGCUCCUGGCUAAACCGGGAGAGGUCGUUGGAUACUGGCGGACUAGAGGACGGUAGAGGCGUGUGGAAUUCCGGGUGUAGUGGUGAAAUGCGUAGAGAUCCGGAGGAACACCAGUGGCGAAGGCGACACGCUGGGCCGUACCUGACACUGAUACGCGACAGCAUGGGGAGCGAACGGG